AGUGAGCGCUGGCGGUAGGCCUAACACAUGCAAGUCGAACGGCAGCACAGUAAGAGCUUGCUCUUACGGGUGGCGAGUGGCGGACGGGUGAGGAAUACAUCGGAAUCUACUUUUUCGUGGGGGAUAACGUAGGGAAACUUACGCUAAUACCGCAUACGACCUACGGGUGAAAGCAGGGGAUCUUCGGACCUUGCGCGAUUGAAUGAGCCGAUGUCGGAUUAGCUAGUUGGCGGGGUAAAGGCCCACCAAGGCGACGAUCCGUAGCUGGUCUGAGAGGAUGAUCGGCCACACUGGAACUGAGACACGGUCCAGACUCCUACGGGAGGCAGCAGUGGGGAAUAUUGGACAAUGGGCGCAAGCCUGAUCCAGCCAUACCGCGUGGGUGAAGAAGGCCUUCGGGUUGUAAAGCCCUUUUGUUGGGAAAGAAAAGCAGCAGGUUAAUACCCCGCUGUUCUGACGGUACCCAAAGAAUAAGCACCGGCUAACUUCGUG
rnacentral:rRNA from 1 species